GUCGAGCGGUAGAGAGGUGCUUGCACCUCUUGAGAGCGGCGGACGGGUGAGUAAAGCCUAGGAAUCUGCCUGGUAGUGGGGGAUAACGCUCGGAAACGGACGCUAAUACCGCAUACGUCCUACGGGAGAAAGCAGGGGACCUUCGGGCCUUGCGCUAUCAGAUGAGCCUAGGUCGGAUUAGCUAGUUGGUGAGGUAAUGGCUCACCAAGGCGACGAUCCGUAACUGGUCUGAGAGGAUGAUCAGUCACACUGGAACUGAGACACGGUCCAGACUCCUACGGGAGGCAGCAGUGGGGAAUAUUGGACAAUGGGCGAAAGCCUGAUCCAGCCAUGCCGCGUGUGUGAAGAAGGUCUUCGGAUUGUAAAGCACUUUAAGUUGGGAGGAAGGGCAUUAACCUAAUACGUUAGUGUUUUGACGUUACCGACAGAAUAAGCACCGGCUAACUCUGUGCCAGCAGCCGCGGUAAUACAGAGGGUGCAAGCGUUAAUCGGAAUUACUGGGCGUAAAGCGCGCGUAGGUGGUUAGUUAAGUUGGAUGUGAAAUCCCCGGGCUCAACCUGGGAACUGCAUUCAAAACUGACUGACUAGAGUAUGGUAGAGGGUGGUGGAAUUUCCUGUGUAGCGGUGAAAUGCGUAGAUAUAGGAAGGAACACCAGUGGCGAAGGCGACCACCUGGACUGAUACUGACACUGAGGUGCGAAAGCGUGGGGAGCAAAC
rnacentral:rRNA from 1 species